rnacentral:rRNA from 1 species
AUUAAACGCUGGCGGCAUGCCUUACACAUGCAAGUCGAACGGCAGCACGGGGGCAACCCUGGUGGCGAGUGGCGGACGGGUGAGUAAAGCAUCGGAACGUAUCCUGGAGUGGGGGGAUAACGUAGCGAAAGUUACGCUAAUACCGCAUAUUCUGUGAGCAGGAAAGCAGGGGAUCGCAAGACCUUGCGCUCUGGGAGCGGCCGAUGUCGGAUUAGCUAGUUGGUGGGGUAAAGGCCUACCAAGGCGACGAUCCGUAGCGGGUCUGAGAGGAUGAUCCGCCACACUGGGACUGAGACACGGCCCAGACUCCUACGGGAGGCAGCAGUGGGGAAUUUUGGACAAUGGGCGCAAGCCUGAUCCAGCCAUGCCGCGUGAGUGAAGAAGGCCUUCGGGUUGUAAA